UGCAGAGGAGCCAGGGAGGCUUCCUGGAGGAGGUGGCAUUUGGGCAGAGCCUAAGGAUUGACUGGCAAGGCAGAAACCCGCCUUCCGGGCCUGGGGACACCUGGGACAGAGGCCUGGCAGUGAGGGAGUCAGGUUAGAUUUGAGGGACACGAGGGUGACAAGUGAUGGCAAGGUCACAGGCCCCUGGGGCUAGACCGGCAGGGGCACUGCGUCUCUGAUAGAGCCGGGCUUUCUGAUGCCCAGCCGAGGCCUGGCUCCAGCGACCAGCACCAAGGAAGUCAGUGGCCUCCUCCUGCGGGCCUGGCGCUGGGGAGGGGACUUCCCCAAUUGCUGUGCAGCUGGGAGUGGGGAACAGGAAGUGAGGCCAGAGGAGGAGCCGCCACCAGGGUCCAGGGCAGUGGGGUGGGGCCUCCCCGGAGGCGGCUCCUGGGGACUCCCAGGACCGCGGGUCAGCAGCAGAGGUGGGGAGCUGGAGGGAGGAGGGCACUCAGCCUGGACCAGCCCGAGGGACCGUCUCCACCUGUCCCCAAGCACCCACCGCCAUGGCCCUGGCCCAGCAGCUGCGGGCGGAGAGGUGAGUGGGGGUGUCCCCUCCGGCCUCCUCUGUGAGAGGCCAGGUUGAGUCAGACCUGCAGCCCAGGAACCUGCACCGUGUCGUGUGACCACCGACCUCAGACAGGGACGGGACACCGAGGCUCAGGAGGGGAACCUGUCACCAGGGUUCACAGGCCAGGGGGGCGGCAGUCUGGGGCACUGGUGUCGCGGCUUCUAGUCUGGGGCUCUUCCCUCUGCCUGGUGGCCAGCGAGGGCUUUCCCAUCGUCUGCUCAAAUGGAGUCCUAGCCCCGUCCUGCCUCCCAAUUCAGGGCUCAGCUCCAAAGCCGCCUCCUCCAGGCAGCCGUCUGGAGCUGCCCCUGCCUUCUCUGGCCCUGUUUCUGCCUAGUGCUCACACUGGUGGCAUGUCACUUGUUGUUGUCAUCGCUGGCUCCCGUUGGAAGCCAACUUCGCGACUAUUUAUUUAUUUAUUUAUUUAUUUAUUCUGGUCUGUUUGGGCCACUCCUGGACCCUAGGAUGGGGGCGACCCGGGCACUAAGUGCUCAGUGCCAGCUGCUGAGGGAUUAGUGAAUGCAAGUUUGAGCUGGAAACGUCCUCGAGUCUCUGGUCUAAAGCUGAGGUUGUACCCAUGGGCACACUGAGGCCUCAGGGAACGGGGACUCGCUCAGGGUUGCAGGGAGCCGAGUGGCAAGGCUGGGACUUGGGGCACAGGCGUCCCAGGCCCCGGAGUCCACGCUCGGCCAGCACCUGCUGAAGGCUUCCUCAGCAGCCUGAGCUUCCAGCUGUGGGGUCCCCGGGCAUGGGACAGCAGGUGACAUCGGGGAGCAGGUGCCCGUGUGAACCCCCAAGGAUUCCCAGAGAAAGGCCAGACUGGGGCCUGGUGGGGAGGGGGCCGUGGUG
rnacentral:lncRNA from 1 species